rnacentral:ncRNA from 12 species
AUCAUAUGAGGUCGGAAACGGUUCCCGACACACUCCAUCUGGAGUACCUGAGAUGCUGGAUACACCGCCCAGUCAUAUGAU